rnacentral:tRNA from 1 species
GAAGGUAUAGCUCAGUGGUAGAGUGCAUGCUUAGCAUGCAUGAGGUCCUGGGUUCAAAGCCUAGUACCUCUG